UACGUAGGGGGCAAGCGUUAUCCGGAUUUACUGGGUGUAAAGGGUGCGUAGGUGGUAUGGCAAGUCAGAAGUGAAAACCCAGGGCUUAACCCUGGGACUGCAUUGGAAACUGUCUGGCUCGAGUGCCGGAGAGGUAAGCGGAAUUCCUAGUGUAGCGGUGAAAUGCGUAGAUAUUAGGAAGAACACCAGUGGCGAAGGCGGCUUACUGGACGGUAACUGACGUUGAGGCUCGAAAGCGUGGGGAGCAAACAGG
rnacentral:rRNA from 1 species